rnacentral:rRNA from 1 species
UGCAAGUCGAACGAUGAUGCCCAGCUUGCUGGGUUGAUUAGUGGCGAACGGGUGAGUAACACGUGAGUAACCUGCCCCUGACUCUGGGAUAAGCGUUGGAAACGACGUCUAAUACUGGAUAUGAUCGCCGGCCGCAUGGUCUGGUGGUGGAAAGAUUUUUUGGUUGGGGAUGGACUCGCGGCCUAUCAGCUUGUUGGUGAGGUAAUGGCUCACCAAGGCGACGACGGGUAGCCGGCCUGAGAGGGUGACCGGCCACACUGGGACUGAGACACGGCCCAGACUCCUACGGGAGGCAGCAGUGGGGAAUAUUGCACAAUGGGCGAAAGCCUGAUGCAGCAACGCCGCGUGAGGGAUGACGGCCUUCGGGUUGUAAACCUCUUUUAGUAGGGAAGAAGCGAAAGUGACGGUACCUGCAGAAAAAGCACCGGCUAACUACGUGCCAGCAGCCGCGGUAAUACGUAGGGUGCAAGCGUUGUCCGGAAUUAUUGGGCGUAAAGAGCUCGUAGGCGGUUUGUCGCGUCUGCUGUGAAAUCCCGAGGCUCAACCUCGGGCUUGCAGUGGGUACGGGCAGACUAGAGUGCGGUAGGGGAGAUUGGAAUUCCUGGUGUAGCGGUGGAAUGCGCAGAUAUCAGGAGGAACACCGAUGGCGAAGGCAGAUCUCUGGGCCGUAACUGACGCUGAGGAGCGAAAGCAUGGGGAGCGAACAGGAUUAGAUACCCUGGUAGUCCAUGCCGUAAACGUUGGGCGCUAGAUGUAGGGACCUUUCCACGGUUUCUGUGUCGUAGCUAACGCAUUAAGCGCCCCGCCUGGGGAGUACGGCCGCAAGGCUAAAACUCAAAGGAAUUGACGGGGGCCCGCACAAGCGGCGGAGCAUGCGGAUUAAUUCGAUGCAACGCGAAGAACCUUACCAAGGC